rnacentral:rRNA from 1 species
CCUACGGGAGGCUGCAGUCGAGAAUCAUUCACAAUGGGGGAAACCCUGAUGGUGCGACGCCGCGUGGGGGAAUGAAGGUCUUCGGAUUGUACACCCCUGUCAUGUGGGAGCAAAUUAAAAAGAUAGGACCACAAGGAGAAGAGACGGCUAACUCUGUGCCAGCAGCCGCGGUAAUACAUAGGUCUCAAGCGUUGUUAGGAAUCACUGGGCGUAAAGCGUGCGUAGGCUGUUUCGUAAGUCGUGUGUGAAAGGCGCGGGCUCAACCCGCGGACGGCACAUGAUACUGGGAGACUAGAGUAAUGGAGGGGGAACCGGAAUUCUCGGUGUAGCAGUGAAAUGCGUAGAUAUCGAGAGGAACACUCGUGGCGAAGGCGGGUUCCUGGACAUUAACUGACGCUGAGGCACGAAGGCCAGGGGAGCGAAAGGGAUUAGAUACCCUAGUAGUC